GUUGAGAAAAGGUAAUAAAUCGCAAUAUAUGUUAUUGCAAUAUUCACCAUAUUGCAAAAUAUUUAAAAUCGCAAUAAGAUCGUAUCGUGACUUAAGUAUUUUGAGAAUAUCGUAUUGUGGGGCCGCUGGUGAUUCCCACCUUCUACCUAAUAUU